rnacentral:rRNA from 1 species
UUACCGUAGGUGAACCUGCGGUAGGAUCA